rnacentral:rRNA from 1 species
AACGAACGCUGGCGGCGUGCUUAACACAUGCAAGUCACACCGAAGAAAGCCCCCUUCGGGGCGGAUGAGUAAAGUGGCGCACGGGUGAGUACAACUNAGGUAAUCUACCUUACGGAGCGGGGGAUAACCCUGUGCGGAAAGGUGCGGGCUUAAUUACCGCAUAACGACCACAGACACAUAUGUGUCAGGGGUCAAAGAGGGCCUCUACUUGUAASCUAUCACUUGAARAUGACCCUUAGCACCAUUACCUUGUUGGUGGGGUAACGGCCUACCAAGGCUCCGAUGGUUACCUGGUCUGAAAGGAUAACCAGUCACACUGGAACUGAAACACGGUCCAAACUCCUACGGNGAGGCASAAGUGAGGAAUAUUGGACAAUGGGCGAAAGCCUGAUCCASCGACGCCGCGUGAGUGAUGAAGGCCCUCGGGUCGUAAAGCUCUGUCAGGUGGGACGAAUAAGGCAAGCAUCAGAUCCUUGUCKAUGACGGUACCGCCAAAGGAAGCACCGGCUAACUCCGUGCCAGCAGCCGCGGUAAUACGGAGGGUGCAAGCGUUGUUCGGAAUUACUGGGCGUAAAGGGUGUGUAGGCGGUUUGUUAAGUCVGGUGUGAAASCCCUUGGCUCAACCAAGGAAGUGCAUUCGAAACUGGCUAACUAGAGUACGGGAGAGGAGAGCGGAAUUCCCAGUGUAGAGGUGAAAUUCGUUGAUAUUGGGAGGAACACCGGUGGCGAAAGCGGCUCUCUGGACCAGUACUGACGCUGAGACACGAUAGCGUGGGGARCAAACARGAUUARAUACCCUGGUARUCCACGCYGUAAACGAUGAAUACUAKCAUGUGGGAAGUGUUGACCCUUUCCGUGUCGCARCUAACGCAUUAAGUAUUCCGCCUGGGGAUUACGGCCGCAAGGCUAAAACUCAMAGGAAUUGACGG